AUUGCGGCUAAAUGGAGACUGAGGUAGGAAUACAUGUCUACGCUGGGAAAAGUUAGUUUCCUUUUUUUUAAUUUUUUUUUAUUAUUCGUUAUCUGAUCUGUCGUCAUGGGUGACGUUGUCAACGCUCUAAUGGAGCUCUUCAUUUUGCUGCUUCUCUUGCUGCUGUAUUUGGUGCUCUUCAGCAGCUAACCUGAACAGGAACUCCACACUUAGGUCUACAUUGUAAGUGUAGAGUUAACAUGUGUUCAACUUUUUUUUUUACAUUUGGAGAAAGCAGAAGGAAGAUGCGGAUGUUUUUUUUUUAAAUUUUAUAUACCUAAUCAAUAUCUGUGGUUUGUAACUCAGAACCAUGUUCCGGCCGUGUGUGUGUGUGUGUGUGUGCCACGCGCACGCGCUGUGUGUGUGUAUACAACAGCAGGUUUUUAUGUAAUGUUCACAGCAGCGUCGUAUAGAACCACAUAGCUAAUGUCAUGCUUGGGGCAGUGUUUUAUUUUAGCGCUGAAAUGCUGAUGGUUAUAUAAUAUAAUAUGCUGGGAACCUGCAAUAUUGUGUAACGUGGGCAGCUACCAGAGAUAGUAAGGCUUUGUCCUAAAUGGCAUCCCCCAGGGCUCUGAUCUAAAGUAGGUCACUGUAUAGGGUUCCAUAGGGCUCUGCUCUAAAGUAGGUCACUGUAUAGGGUUCCAUAGGGCUCUGCUCUAAAGUAGGUCACUGUAUAGGGUUCCAUAGGGCUCUGGUCUGAAGUAGGUCACUGUAUAGGGUUCCAUAGGGCUCUGCUCUAAAGUAGUUCACUAUAUAGGGAAUAGGGUUCCAUAGGGCUCUGAUCUAAAGUAGUUCACUGUAUAGGGUUCCAUAGGGCUCUGGUCUAAAGUAGUUCACUGUAUAGGGUUCCAUAGGGCUCUGGUCUAAAGUAGGUCACUGUAUAGGGUUCCAUAGGGCUCUGGUCUAAAGUAGUUCACUGUAUAGGGUUCCAUAGGGCUCUGGUCUGAAGUAGGUCACUGUAUAGGGAAUAGGGUACCAUAGAGCUCUGGUCUGAAGUAUUUGACAAAAUAGACCGGCAUGGCUCUCCAUAGGAAAACAAUGGGGGGAGCUCAGUGUUCCAAGGGCAAAAAGUAUUUGGGGGCUAGCGUUUGAUGACAACCGAGCUCGUUGGCCAGAGUUAAAUCAUUAAAAAGAGGAGAUUCUCCUGAUUUAAAAAAAAAAAUGGUGUCCGACUUGAAAAACAUCUAAAUAUGCACACGUUGGCGAAAUAGACAGACAUCUUUCCCCUAUAGGAAACAAUGGGACGACCUCAGAGUUCCACAAGUCAUUUUUUUGUUGUUUAAAUUUGAACUACCAACAACGUGGGCAGGUCUCAUUACCAUCAAUAGCAAAGCAGGCAUUGUGACAUAGAACAAUAGGCUGGGAUUAGAACGCUUGGAAGACAAGUUGGUGCCACGGUGCUCAAUAGAACUAAUAGGAGCUGGCAGGGUGAAAAAUGCUCUAAAAUAAGGCCUGUUUUUUUUCGUGAUUACUUCAAAACUACGGCAGGCAGCUGGGGCAUAUGGUCAUAUUAUGAAACUGGGCUCCAUGGCGGAUGCAAUGAACUAGUUUUUUUCAGAAAGUGUUGUUAAAACCUGUUUGGGAUAGGGGGCAGCAUUUUCUCGUUUGGAUGAAAGGCGUGCCCAGAGUAAAGUGCCUGCUACUCAGUCCCAGUUGCUAAUAUAUGCAUAUUAUUAGUAGAUUUGGAUAGAAAACACUCUGCAGUUUCUAAAACUGUUUGAUUGAUGUCUGAGUAUAACAGAACUCAUAUGGUAGGCGAAAACCUGAGAAGAAUCCAACCAGGAAGUGGGAAAUCUGAGGUUUGUAGUUUUUCAAAGCUUGGCCUAUCGAAAACAGUGUCUAUGGGGUCAAAUUGCACUUCCUAAGGCUUCCACUAGAUGUCAACCGUCUUUAGAAACUUCUCCUGUAAAGGAGGGGCUCAUAAGGGCUCUUUGAGUCAGUGGUCUGGCAGAGUGCCACGAGCCCGUGAUGGGCGGUCACGAGAGAGUUAGCUACCGUUCCAUUGCUUUUCUACAGACAAAGGAAUUCUCCGGUUGGAACAUUAUUGAAGAUUUAUGUUAAAAACAUCCUAAGGAUUGAUUCUAUACUUCGUUUGACAUGUUUCUAUGGACUGUAACUGAACUUUUGGACUUUGUCUGGACCUAGUGAAGAUGGAUUACUGGGCUGAACGCGCUAACAACAAGGAGGAAUUUGAACAUAAAUUAUGAACUUUAUCGAACAAAUCAAACAUUUAUUGUUCUGGGAUUCCUGAGAGUGCAUUCUGAUGAAGCUCAUCAAAGCCGGGUAUCGUGUCUCCCUUCAAGCGUGUGUUUCUGAAGGGAGAAAAGGGUAGAGAUAAAAAGGCUCAGGAGAAGACUACAGAACGCCGUGCCCUCCACACCUUCUCCCUCUCCCUCCCCGACCACCGCAUCGACCCUGACAUCCUGCUCAAUGACUACGUAGAGAAGGAAGUCAAGUACUUGGGCCAGCUGACGUCAGUACCAGGAUACCUGAACCCCUCCAGUCGAACAGAGGUGCUACAGCUCAUUGACAAUGCCAGGAAGUCCCACCAGUUGGCGGGUCAGCUUACUUCGGAGCAGGAUGCAGUGGUCAGUCUGUCGGCCUAUAAUGUGAAGCUGGUGUGGCGGGAUGGAGAGGACAUCAUACUGCGUGUUCCCAUCCACGACAUCGCUGCCGUGGCAUACAUACGAGACGACUCACUGCACCUGGUGGUGCUCAAGACAGCCCAGGAGGCAGGUGUGUCCCCGUGUCCCAGUACCUGUCCUGACCUGUCUAAGUCCCAGACCCUCAGCUCUCUGUCUGAGAGCGGGGCUGUACUGGUAGAGGUCUGCUGUCUGCUAGUACUGGCUGUAGACAACAAGACAGCAGCAGAGGAGCUGUGUCUCCUACUCAGCCAGGUGUUUCAGAUAGUUUAUACUGAGUCCACUAUAGACUUCCUGGACAGAGCCAUCUUUGACGGAGCCACCACCCCCACCAGACACCUCUCUCUCUACAGUGACGACUCUUCAAGCAAGGUGGACCUUAAGGAAUCAUUUGAAGCAGAGGCCAGCACCUUUUCUUUCCAGGGUUCUCUAGAGGCAGGGGGCGACUCUCCGUCCCCCACCUCCACCCCAGCCUCCCCUCAGACCAAGACAGCCAGCGAAGGAGAGCUGAGCACCACCGCCACAGAGCUGCUACAAGACUACAUGACCACGUUGCGUACCAAGUUGUCGUCUCAGGAGAUCCAGCAGUUUGCUACUCUUCUUCAUGAGUACCGUAACGGAGCGUCCGUCCAUGAGUUCUGUAUCAACCUUCGCCAGCUCUACGGGGACAGCAGGAAGUUCCUCCUACUGGGUCUGAGGCCGUUCAUCCCAGAGAAGGACAGCCAACACUUUGAGAACUUCCUGGAGACCAUCGGUGUUAAGGACGGUCGUGGCAUCAUCACUGACAGCUUCGGACGCUACCGCCGCACCGCCAGCUCCGCCUCCGACUCAACCACCAAUGGGAACGGGGCGGUGGGAGGGGACGGGGGUGGGUCUGACGAAGGGCUUGUGCCCUCCGAAGGAGACGAAUGGGACCGCAUGAUCUCUGAUAUCAGUAAUGAUAUAGAGGCUCUGGGUGUCAGUAUGGACCAAGAAGGGGUCACACCCUAGCCUCUAACCCCUUGCCUCGAGUCUGGGUUGCAGUAUGGACCAAGAGGGGAUGACGCCCUACCCCCCUAGACCCUACUCCCUACCAUCGAAACUGUGCUGCAGUAUGUACCAAGAGGGGUCACACCCUAGACCCUAAACCCUUCUCCCUAUGCCCUAACUCAUACCCCCUAGUCCCUACUCGUCCUUAACCAAGAGAGAGGACGAUCCAGCCAGCCCAGAUCCAAACCCCUGAUGAUGACAUGCUGUGCAUUGUGGCCAAUCAGCUUUCAGUGUGAGCCAGCGUGGGGCCAAUCCGCUCGGCCUUUUAAAGAAAACUUUAUUGAUCCAUUCGUAGUGGUUUUUACUUUUAAGUCUCUGGAGUUUUGAUCGUUAUUGGCAGCAUCUGCCAUCAGUGACCAGAAUGAAGCUGAGUCGCCCUCCUGAGGGCGACCAUCAUGAAUACCCACAAUGCUCUGUCUGGUGUCUCGCUUCACAAUGGGUGCGUUUGACAUUGCAGCCGACUUUAAAAGGCGAGUUGAGACCGACUGAUCUACAAAUCACCUUAGAUCAUUAAAAAACGACCUACUCGAGUAUUAUAUGUGGGUCAAGUCAGUCACAGUUUUCCCUUCAUACAGCUGCUCUGGAACACGGCCAAUCGGAGUCUGUGGGUGCGCUGUACAGGAAGUAAGGGUACCAUUUGACACGCAGACCAGAAGAUGUGCCUGGACACAGAAUAGUGAAUAUUUUAUAAUGACUUAGGUUCGUGUAUGUAGUAGUUAGCCUGUAUUUCUGUUCUUUAAGGUCAAUCAUUAACCUUCUAUACAGUCUCAGCCCUGUCUAAGACUGGGGGAGAGGUGAGGUUCUACUCUGCUAACAUAUGGAAUUGUUUUAAGAAGGCAUGUAGCUUUUUGAUUUUAAGAUCCCUUGAAAAUAUAAAGAAAAUAUAUCAAACUGAUUUGAUGAAACAGUGAAUUUGGCCUUACUGCCUUUAGCCCAUACAAACACAUUGAGUAACAGAUUCACUACAUGGAACGACAGAUCUAAAGGAAGUUUGUUCUGAGGUGUGUGUUCAAUAUCUGCGAGAUAUAAGAAAGAUCGAGAAAUCUUUUCAAUUUUAUUACAUAUAUUUGACGCUAAACUAUCUCCAUAUAUACUUCCAUUCAUUUUUUUUUUUCUCCAACUGGUACCAGGGGACCUUCAAACGAGUCUUGUGAGGCAAAAGGGGGGGGGGGUCGUAGAGCAAAAACGGAUUUGGACGUCGACGGAUGUGACGGAUUAAGGAAAGGAUGUAAGGAAACUGAAAUCUCUUUAAGAAAAAAGUAUUUAGUCAGCCACUUUUUUCAGUUUAAACUGACGGAUGUUGAUGAGGAUUUUUGUAUUGUGCUAAUGUGAUUUCGGGCGGGCUGCGGAAAUCCACUCUGGGAGGGGGUCAACUUAAUCCACCACUCUGGGAGGGGGUCAACUUAAUCCACCACUCUGGGAGGGGGUCAACUUAAUCCACCACUCUGGGAGGGGGUCAA